rnacentral:rRNA from 1 species
CAUUACCGAGUGAGGGCCCUCUGGGUCCAACCUCCCACCCGUGUUUAUUUACCUUGUUGCUUCGGCGAGCCUGCCUUUUGGCUGCCGGGGGACGUCAGUCCCCGGGUCCGUGCUCGCCGGAGACACCUUAGAACUCUGUCUGAAGAUUGUAGUCUGAGAUUAAAUAUAAAUUAUUUAAAACUUUCAACAACGGAUCUCUUGGUUCCGGCAUCGAUGAAGAACGCAGCGAAAUGCGAUACGUAAUGUGAAUUGCAGAAUUCAGUGAAUCAUCGAGUCUUUGAACGCACAUUGCGCCCUCUGGUAUUCCGGAGGGCAUGCCUGUCCGAGCGUCAUUGCUGCCCUCAAGCACGGCUUGUGUGUUGGGCCCCGUCCUCCUUCCGGGGGACGGGUCCGAAAGGCAGCGGCGGCACCGCGUCCGGUCCUCAAGCGUAUGGGGCUUUGUCACUCGCUUUGUAGGCCUGGCCGGCGCUUGCCGAUCAACCAAACUUUUUAUCAGGUUGACCUCGGAUCAGGUAGGGAUACCCGCUGAACUUAAGCAUAUCAAUAAGCGGAGGAA